rnacentral:lncRNA from 1 species
GGUUUCUCCCCUUUUUGUAGGGUUUCCACUCUUUUUGUAGGGUUUCCCCUCUUUUUGUAGGGUUUCCCCUCUUUUUGUAGGGUUUUCGCUCUUUUUGUAGGGUUUCCACUCUUUUUGUAGGGUUUCUGCUUUUUUUGUAGGGUUUCUGCUCUUUUUGUAGGGUUUCCACUCUUUUUAAAGGGUUUUCACUCUUUUUGUAGGGAUUCCACUCUUUUUAAAGGGUUUCUCCCCUUUUUGUAGGGUUUCCACUCUUUUUAAAGGGUUUUCACUCUUUUUGUAGGGUUCCCACUCUUUUUAAAGGGUUUUCGCUCUUUUUGUAGGGUUUUCGCUCUUUUUGUAGGGUUUCCCCUCUUUUUGUAGGGUUUCCACUCUUUUUAAAGGGUUUCUCCCCUUUUUGAAGGGUUUCCGCUCUUUUUGUAGGGUUUCCACUCUUUUUAAAGGGUUUCUCCCCUUUUUGAAGGGUUUCUGCUCUUUUUGAAGGGUUUCUGCUCUUUUCCCUUUUUUUUUAGGGUAACGAAGCAGAGGGCAUUUUUUGGGGCUUUUCACAUAAGUGCCCAACACCCAGCCCUGGGUACAGUGGGACCGGGUUCCUCACGGGACCCAAACCCCAAAUCCCCCUCUAAUCCUAAUCCUAGCCCUAAUCCUGAGCAAGGAGUUCCCAAACCCGAUGGUUCCGGGGUUAAAACCCCAAUGCCCUGCAGUGGGGACGCCGCAUCCCAGUGCCACGGUCAUAAAAACGCUGCUUAUGGGGCCGCUGGGGUCCUCUGCCCUUUAUGGGGUCACUGGGGUUGUCUGCUCUUUAUGGGGUUUUUGGGGUCCUCUGCUCCCUAUGGGGUCCUCAGGGUCCUCUGCUCUUUAUGGGGCCAUUGGGGUUCUCUGCCCCUUAUGGGUUCCUUGGGGUCCUCUUCUCCUUAUAGGGUCCUUGGGGUUCUCUGCCCCUUUAUGGGGCCGUCAGGGUUCUUUGCUCCCUAUGGGGUUCUUGGGGUUCUUGGCUCCUUAUGGGGCCUUUGGGGGUCCUCUGCCCCUUAUGGGGUCCUUGGGGUCCUCUGCCCUUUAUGGGGUCCUUUGCUUCUUAUGGGGCCAUUGGGGUCCUCUGCUCUUCAUGGGGCUGUCGGGGGUUCUCUUCUCCUUAUAAGGUCCUUGGGGUUCUCUGCCCCUUUAUGGGGUCCUUGGGGUUCUCUGCCCCUUAUAGGGUCAAUGGGGUUCUCUGCUCUUUAUAGGAUCCUUGGGGUUCUCUACCCCUUUAUGGGGCCGUUGGGGGUCCUCUGCUCUCUAUGGGGUCCUUGGGGUCCUCUUCUCCUUAUAGGGUCCUUGGGGUUCUCUGCCCCUUUACGGGGCCGUCAGGGUUCUUUGCUCCCUAUGGGGUUCUUGGGGUUCUUGGGGUUCUUGGCUCCUUAUGGGGCCUUUGGGGGUCCUCUGCCCCUUAUAGGGUCCUUGGGGUUCUCUGCCCCUUAUGGGGCCACUGGGGUUCUCUGCCCCUUUUAUGGGGUCCUUGGGGUCCUCUGCCCUUUAUGGGGUCCUUCGCUUCUUAUGGGGCCAUUGGGGUCCUCUGCUCUUCAUGAGGUUGUUGGGGGCUCUCUGCUCUUUAUGGGGUCCUUG